rnacentral:lncRNA from 1 species
CCAGUUUUAUGUCCGCUCUCACCCUCUUAUAGUUCUUGCACCUGUUAGAAACACACACACACACAUACCCAUUGUUUCUUCAUCCUGUUGUUUACAAUCUUGAGCUACAAUAAAAUAAACCUGUUGAAUGUUAUUCCUAGAGGGUAGGAUGUUUGGUUAUGAUAGGCCACACUCCAGACUCAUGUUAUAAUAUUAUUGUAUUUCAACACGCUAUCAAAGUCUGUUAAGAACUGAAGAAUGAGGGAGGAUGUGUGUACUGCCCACAAGGGCCUCUGUAGCCAGUGUUGACAGUACUGGCAUCGUCAAGCUAGGUGUGUGUGUGUGUCUGUGUCUGUGUGUGUGCAUACAUGAAUGCCUGUGAAUAUAUCAACAUUAUAGUUAUUAUACAAAUUAUCUGCCCUCUCUCUCUCUCUCUCUCCUCUUUGUCUCUCUCCUUUCUUUCUCUCCUCUUUUUCUCGUUCCCUCUCUCAGGCAUAAUAAGUUGAAGUUGAAGCAGGAUCAUGACAUUGUGGUUUAUGAGGACCUGACAGGGGAGGUCACCUGCCCCAGCCCAACAACCUUAACACGUGAGUCGCUACAACGCCACCUGGGGCCAUUGCUCCUGGCCACUAAAGUACUUUCAAUUGAAGAAAACAUAAGAUAAGUAAUUUGAUAAUUGGGGUGUGUAUUUGUGUUGUAGUCUGUUGCUGAGUGCGUCUAGAAGGCUGGCUGCAGCUGAUGCUGAGGUGGGCUCCCCAGGAGCGAGGCAGACCCCUAGACCACCUCCCGACUGCUUCUCUCAGCUUGUGACUAUAUUGGAGCAAAAGGAGAUAGACGGGAGGUGGACAGACCUUUCUCUGGUGUUUCCGUUUGACCGUUCCUCCUGCAGCUAUGAGCCACAGUUCACCCCAUCCACAAUGCCAGAAAAUAUACGCUUUGUCCGUGAGUACACGCAAACUCUAAUGCUAAGAAAACUGAAAAAUAUG